rnacentral:rRNA from 1 species
UACGUAGGUGGCAAGCGUUACUCGGAAUCACUAGGCGUAAAGCGCAGGUAGGCGGUUCGGUAAGUCUUUUGUGAAGCUCCUGGCUCAACUGGGAGAGGUCAAAGGAAACUACCGGGCUAGAGUUUGGUAGGGGAUACUGGAAUUCCUGGUGUAGCGGUGAAAUGCGCAGAUAUCAGGAAGAACACCCGUGGCGAAGGCGGCUCUCUGGGACGGUACUGACGCUGAGACGCGAAAGCGUGGGGA